GUAGAUGGGGAUGAAGAGCAUUUGCUUUUAUCAAAUGAAAGGGUCAAGUUUUCUGUUUCGGAGAUGAGUCGUUUGAAGUUGAGAUGUUGCUUGAAGUUAGUAUUAUCAGAACUUUUGGAAAUAAUCACGACAUACAUGUGCUGAAAAACUGCAUACUUCUGCAGGCUUACUUUGUGCAAAUUGAAAGCACGAUGAACAAGUUGAUAACAGUAAGAAAAUGCAUAGAGCAUGGAGGAACUUGGCUGCCAUUAAAGAUACAUAAAAACGAAAUAAUGAAUUCAUUUCGAACUAAAUAGUGAUACUGGUGUUUCUUUAUCCAGUUGCAGGAAUAUAUUGAUGACACAGAGUACUAUAUCAAUAUUCAGGUUACUCAUUGCUGAUUUAACUUCUUUAUUAAUACUAAGACGUAAGUUACCUUGUUGCAGUUGGACAAUCAUCGAAAUCAGCUCAUCCAGUGCUGCUGGCAUGCUUUUUUCCCUCGCCGGAACACAUAUAUGUGCUGCCUGAUGACUCGACUUCUUGUACAAAUUGUUCUAAGUACUCUCACUUCUUGUUGACUGCUGUAAUAAGCGGACAUUCUUUGUUACCAACUUGCUUGUGUACAAUGUUUUAGAGGGUGGUGAAAGUCAUUUCUACUGUACUGAAGGGCCAUCGUUUUAUUUGAGGAAUGCCUUUAACAAUUUCAACUUCUGUUUUGUGUUUGCUCUAUUGUUCUCAGCAAUACUACCCAUCGCUAAGAUGGAGUAUGCUCCUGAGAUGUUGGUCGUCGUUUCACCUGUCUAUAUCUGGAUUGCAUAACUCUGGACAUAGUAAAUAUGCACAACUGAUCAGUCAAAUCCAACUUGCUUCUAAGAUAGGAAAAAAUAAUUUACCUUUUCUUUUUUUCUUACUCUGUUAAUGUACAUAAAUUUUGUAAUUAACUUGUGAAAUCAUAUUCCUGCAAAACUCAUUCA